UGAGCAAUCUGCCCUUCUCAUCGGAAUAAGCGUUGGAAACGACGUCUAAUGCCGAAUACGACCUCCUUUCGCAUGAUCGGAGGUGGAAAGCUCCGGCGGAGAAGGAUGAGCUCGCGGCCUAUCAGCUGGUUGGUGUGGGUAAUGGCCCACCAAGGCGACGACGGGUAGCCGGCCUGAGAGGGUGACUGGCCACACUGGGACUGAGACACGGCCCAGACUCCUAGGGAGG
rnacentral:rRNA from 1 species